GAGUUUGAUCGUGGCUCAGAUUGAACGCUGGCGGCAGGCCUAACACAUGCAAGUCGAGCGGUAGAGAGAAGCUUGCUUCUCUUGAGAGCGGCGGACGGGUGAGUAAUGCCUAGGAAUCUGCCUGGUAGUGGGGGAUAACGCUCGGAAACGGACGCUAAUACCGCAUACGUCCUACGGGAGAAAGCAGGGGACCUUCGGGCCUUGCGCUAUCAGAUGAGCCUAGGUCGGAUUAGCUAGUUGGUGAGGUAAUGGCUCACCAAGGCGACGAUCCGUAACUGGUCUGAGAGGAUGAUCAGUCACACUGGAACUGAGACACGGUCCAGACUCCUACGGGAGGCAGCAGUGGGGAAUAUUGGACAAUGGGCGAAAGCCUGAUCCAGCCAUGCCGCGUGUGUGAAGAAGGUCUUCGGAUUGUAAAGCACUUUAAGUUGGGAGGAAGGGCAGUAAAUUAAUACUUUGCUGUUUUGACGUUACCGACAGAAUAAGCACCGGCUAACUCUGU
rnacentral:rRNA from 1 species